rnacentral:lncRNA from 1 species
CCCGUUUUAAUUGCCUUUUAUGCUCCCUAAAAAUGCUCUAACGGCUCUUUUUCUGCCUAAUAUAUUUUCUCUUAUUUCUUAAUGCUAUAAAAGGUUUCAAAAGGUGAAAAUACAGGAGAGAUACACAAGGGAUCCAAAAAUCUACACGAGAGAGAUUGAGAUCAACGAAAUACACAAAAGAAAAAGAAAGGCGAUCCACAAUCCACACAAGAGAGAC